rnacentral:lncRNA from 1 species
GGCUAGUUCAUCAAAGUGGACCUUUCCUCCAAAUUUCAGUAAUGGUUUUUUCCUCUCUCCUUCAGGUCUAGGGGUGUAGACCACUCUGCUAUCAGUAACCCUAGAGUACAGCCCUCUUCUUUGUCCUUCCCCCAGCCUGCCCAUACCUUUACUAGACACUUUUAUUAAACAGUCCCUUUAUUAAAUCCUUCUAAAAUUAUUGCAAUUAGAAUAAGACAUCUGUAUUCUCUUGAGAUCCUGACUGAUAGAAAUCGUGGUACUAUUGAUAAUGUCAUUAUGAGUGAUUAGAAGUAGUUUGACGCUGUCUCUACAAAAAGUACAAAAAAUUAGUGGGGCAUGGUGGCGCAUGCCUGUAAUCCCAGCUACUUUGGAGGUUGAGGCAGCAGAAUUGCUUGAAGCUAGGAGGCAGAGGCCACUACAAGGCAAUAGUUCAU